AGUGAACGCUGGCGGUAGGCCUAACACAUGCAAGUCGAACGGCAGCACAGUAAGAGCUUGCUCUUACGGGUGGCGAGUGGCGGACGGGUGAGGAAUACAUCGGAAUCUACUUUUUCGUGGGGGAUAACGUAGGGAAACUUACGCUAAUACCGCAUACGACCUACGGGUGAAAGCAGGGGAUCUUCGGACCUUGCGCGAUUGAAUGAGCCGAUGUCGGAUUAGCUAGUUGGCGGGGUAAAGGCCCACCAAGGCGACGAUCCGUAGCUGGUCUGAGAGGAUGAUCAGACACACUGGAACUGAGACACGGUCCAGACUCCUACGGGAGGCAGCAGUGGGGAAUAUUGGACAAUGGGCGCAAGCCUGAUCCAGCCAUACCGCGUGGGUGAAGAAGGCCUUCGGGUUGUAAAGCCCUUUUGUCGGGAAAGAAAGGCAGCAGGUUAAUACCCCGCUGUUCUGACGGUACCCAAAGAAUAAGCACCGGCUAACUUCGUG
rnacentral:rRNA from 1 species